rnacentral:lncRNA from 1 species
GAUUCUCGUAAUUCCCACUCCAUGAUGGACUUGGUUUCUCAUAAAAAAAAAAGAGGCUCACCAGCUCAGCCCAAAGGCAAUGAGAUUUCAAGCUCAAAAAAUGGCUGAAAGGAACUUAAGGCCACGUGAUUAAAAGGUAUAAAGUAGCUUACGGGCCUGAGAAAGUGUUUGGCAUUAAAUUAGGCCUCGUGCAGGCCUAAAGAGAGUGUGCACUUGACCCAAACAGCCAUGGGAGGAUGAGGAUAGCACAUG